rnacentral:rRNA from 1 species
CCUACGGGUGGCAGCAGUGAGGAAUAUUGGUCAAUGGACGAGAGUCUGAACCAGCCAAGUAGCGUGAAGGAUAACUGCCCUAGGGGUUGUAAACUUCUUUUAUAAAGGAAUAAAACGAGGCACGUGUGCCGGUUUGCAUGAACGUUAUGAAUAAGGAUCGGCUAACUCCGUGCCAGCAGCCGCGGUAAUACGGAGGAUCCGAGCGUUAUCCGGAUUGAUUGGGUUUACAGGGAGCGUAGAUGGGUUGUUAAGUCAGUUGUGAAAGUGUGCGGCUCAACCGUAAAAUUGCAAUUGAUACUGGCAGUCUUGAGUACCGUUGAGGUAGGCGGAAUUCGUGGUGUAGCGGU